rnacentral:SRP_RNA from 2 species
GGUUGGACCUCGUGCGUUGUCAAAUGGGUAUACCGAGUCAGGUGGGGAACCAAGCAGCUCAAUACAUGCUUUUGACAAGCCACGGGUCAUCUGACCCGG